rnacentral:rRNA from 1 species
GUCCACGCCCUAAACUAUGUCAACUGGUUGUUGGGAAUUCACUUUCUCAGUAACGAAGCUAACGCGUGAAGUUGACCGCCUGGGGAGUACGGCCGCAAGGUUAAAACUCAAAGGAAUUGACGGGGACCCGCACAAGCGGUGGAUGAUGUGGUUUAAUUCGAUGCAACGCGAAAAACCUUACCCACCUUUGACAUGUACGGAAGAUCGUAGAGACGCGAUUGUGCUCGAAAGAGAGCCGUAACACAGGUGCUGCAUGGCUGUCGU